UCUAAAACUAUCCUAAAAUAGGAAGUUUAUUAAAAAAAACGGAAUAAUACCAUCAAACAUUAUUUAGUAAGUGGUUGCUAUUAAAUGGUAAUAAAUGAUAAUGAGACUGAGAAAUUUUUAUUCACUCAAAUGGCCUACAGGGAGAGCACUUAGAGGAAUGCCUGACAAGGCCAGUUCCCAUAGGAGCUAAAAUUUCAAGGGCAUGGAUACUGGCUGAGGCCAAGGUUUCAGAGAAGGGGUACCAUUAUUCUUUAUGAGACUAGGAAGGGUUUUUUUUUUUUCUCCUUCUGAAGGGGAGGAGGAAGCAGAAUAAACAAUAAUGGACAUUUAUUGAGUACUGAAUUGUGCCAAAUGCUUUAUCUAUUCUAAGUGCUUUAUCUCGCUGAAUCUUGAUGAGGUAGGUACCACUGUUUCCCUAGAAAGAAGGAAAGAGAGAAAAAAGUGAGGCCCGGAGACCUUGACCUGCCCAAUAACAUACAGUUAAGAAGGGAUAGGGAGUAUGAAGUAGGAUUUGAACCCAGGAAGCUUGGCUCCAGAGCCGUCUCCGUGAGGCUACUUGCCAAGAAAUAUGUCGGUGCCCUGUGACCACUCAAAUUCCACUGCAGUGUUUCUAAAUUCCUGGAAUGUGUGGUGUGAGCUUAUUUUCUGUACAAACAAGAAAAGGGUUGAUUUUUCUAUCUUUGAUGACUUUGGACUAUCAAAGGCCAGUGAGAGUUUAGGUCAAGUUUACUUAGAUCUCUGAGUCUCAGGACAAGGGGGCGGGGUGGGGGCUUAGUACUUAGCUGACACUGGAUAACACUAUUAUUACUGCUGGUCAUUGCCUUCCUGCCCCACUACCUACCCACCCCUCACUCAGUACCCUAGAGGCCCCUUCAAGUUGGGCUACUUCCUUAGGGGAAACAGGAUGUCUCUUCUACAGGCUUGGGCCAGGUCUCUGGGGGUUUGGGGUGGGAAGAGGCUGUCUAAUUGGUUAACACGGAGCUAGGCACCAGAGAGGAAGUAAUGUUUCCGGGAGUUGAGGAAACUGCCAUUUCCUCCUCCAGCAGGAAGCGCCCUUGGCUAUUCUCAGCACCCUGUGGCCAUGUGGGGCAAUGGAAAUCACAGCCUGGCAGUGUCUCAGAUUUGCCUCCUGCAGUUUAACAAUCUCCCAGUCAAAAUAAACUGGCUCCUUCAGUCUCCAGGGCACGGUUAAGGUAAUAAUUGAGAGAGAGAAGCCAGAGACCUGGCUGUUGCAUAAAGGCAUGGAAAGACUUUUAUAUCAGACUGGUAUUGGCUGCUUGUGCCUCAUUAAAGUGGUUUAAUUGAAGCAUUGUGAAGACAAACAAACCAAGAGAUUCAGUUACGGUUUCUCGAAUAGCUAGUCUCUGCCUCAGGAGAAUCUGUACUGAUGGGGGUAAGGGAGACCGUUGCUCCCUUAAGCGUGUAUGUAGAUAAGUUUUAAACAGUAAAGCAGCACGAUUCUGGAGAAAGGGAACUGGAAAAUGGAUCAUAGAGAUUUGGGUUCAAAUUUGAACUUCACCAGACAUGCUGUUUUGUGACAGUCACAACAUGGCUGACCUGUGGUUUCUUCAGGUGGCAAAACCUGCCCUGUUUACCUCUCGGCGUUGCUCUAAAAUCAACCUUGAUUUCCUCCCGUGCCUUAUCUCCUCAUGUCCGCCAGUUCUAAAUAGCCUUGGAGACUCCCUCCCUCCUUCCCUCCCUCCUUUCUUCCUAUCAUUCCUCCUGUAAAAGUUCACUGAGUACCUACUUAAUGUUUGGAAGUGAUCUUGCCUUUGGGGAAUUCCACAGGGAAUGAUAGAGAAUUUACGUUCAUUUGAGAAAGCGGAUGACAAACAAGUAAAUACAAACACGAGAUAAUUUUGUAGUGUGAUCAGAGCUAUGAAAGAAAAUACACAUAUGUGUCAACAGAAAGCAGUUCUGUGGGGAGGGGUCGCUCUACACGAGGGGGUGGCGGCCUCUCUGAGGAGGCCAUAUUUGAAUGAUUGCCUAACUGGGACGCCUGGGUGGCUCCGUCAGUGGAGCAUCUGACUCUUGAUUUCGGCUCAGGUCAUGAUCCUGGGGUUGUGGGACUGAGCCCCGAGUUGGCUGAGUGUGGAGCAUGCUUAAGAUUCUCUCUCUCCCUCUUGCCCCUCUCCCCUGCUGUCUCUCAGAAUUAAUAAAUAAAUAAAAUGAAUGAUGCCUAAAAAAAAAAAAUGAAUGAUGCCUAACUGAUGAGACAAAGUCAGCUGUUUCAGGGGGUGGGUCCCUGGGAGGGGGCAGGGCAACUGAUCACUGAUAAUUUGUGUGUAUUAGGGGAUUCUCGAUACCAGAGAUGUGGUGAUGAGGCAGAGCGUUUCGGUCUGUGCUUUUAUGGAGUUUAUGUUUGAGAAGAAGGGACAGAGAAAAAUAAACACACAGAGUGCCUGCUAUGUGCUAGACUGAUGUGAGGGGCUGGCAGUACCAGGGUAGAUGAAAGUCCAGUCCUUGCCCUCACCUCUCAUUGAUCUUGGAGCGACGAGAAUGCAGUGCCUGGAUUACCAAUUCCUACAGCAGGGCUCAUGGGACUCCCCAGAUUAGUUAACUAGGCUCACCAAACCACGGGAUUGCUGGCAGGAUGGAUGCUGGUAAGUAGCGGCAACCCCUGUUACGGUUGGAAGAUUUCAAGCAGAUUUCAGGAAGGUUGACAUAACUGGUUUGCAUUUUUAAAGAUCUCUCUGCAUUGGAGGAGGGAAAAAGAGGAAGCUGGGAGAACCAUUUGGAGCUACUCCAAAGAGAGAUGAUGGUGGCUGGGCCCGGGAGGAGGGAGGCAGGUGAGAUAGGGCAGAAAGGACAAAAUUGAACCUGGUCGCUUAGCAGUUGAGUGGCAGUGACACGGCUCUUAACUUCUCUACAUCAUUUUCCAAAUCCAUAGUAUGGUUGUAUCAAUUCUUAGCUCUCAGGAUUAUAGAGAUACAUUAAGUGUAUCUACCACAAUGAAGGUCCCCAAUAAUUGGCAUUAUUAGUAUUAACAUCCAGACUCCUUAUGUGACAUGCAAGUCCCUUUGUGUUCUGGACUCAAAUAACUCUGGGUAGAAGAGAAGGGGAGGGUCUUCCAUGUUCAGCCGAUACAUGUGCUUUUCCCAUCCUGUGGUGGAACCUUCCAAAAUGGGAAAAAGUUGUCCUAUAGCCAGUCAUGAAACUUCUUCUUUUGGUCCCAGGGGAUUUUUGCCCCUAGUCCCAUCAUUCAGCAUCCACAUCUUGACCAGCACAGAGUGCAGUUUGUCAUGUCUUCAGUCUGCAAAUAUUGACAAAAGAAUGAGAGUUGGCCCAAUGCACUUUAAUGAGUAAGAAACAAACAAGCUUGCUCAAAUUUCCAGGAAUUUUCUCCCGAACCGAGUUGCAAUGUGGUUUUUGCCACUCCCCAAAACCAAUGUCCUAAGCUCAGGAAAGCCCCCUGUUAUUGCUGUCACUCCAAAAUGUUUUCACCAAAAUCAGUGGGUUGAGUGAUUUCCUUGAGAAUAAUAACUUUGCACAAUACAGACAGAGCCUCAGUCUGCAAUGGAGAUAUGCAUUCCUGGCAGAAAGACCAUAGAAGUUAUACCAAUUCGGAAGGAUUUAAGUGGAAUGAUACAACACAGACUGAAGAAGGUUGAUGCCUUGGUAUCUUUGGGAGUACUCAUGCUGACCAUCGGCAUCCACCUCCGUCUGUCAAACCCCUCCCCACACCGUCCUCGCUGGGAGUUUAACUAGGUCAACUGCCACCUUCCGGAGGAAGCGUCCUGGGUGCACCCGCUUCCCCAACAGAAUCAAUCCAUAGCACCGUCGCUUUCCUAUUCUUGCCUGUUCACACGUCCGUUUUGCCCACUGGCCUGGAAGCUCCUGGGGGGCACAGGCGGUGUUGUCAUCCCUGAGAUCUUCCCAGUGCCUAGCCAAGGACCGUGGACUUGGUACAUAUCGGAUGAAGGAGUGAUUGCAGGAAGAUCAUGGUCACACCAUGACAGAACAACAACCUGCUUGUUUUGGUGGAACGCGUGAGUGGAGGCUCUGUUGGUGUCCAUUCUGCCAACUGCUUUGCCCUUCCUUGUGCCGAGUGCCGUUCCUUCUCUUGUCCUGAGAAAUCUUGCUGUCUGUCUGCGGCCCCACCUCCCCUGGGAGCCAGCACCGCAGGGUCCCCUUGGUACGUGCUCAGCACUGUUCUUCCUUAGCUGCUGUUCCCUCGGUUCUUUUGCACAAAUUACAUGUUUCUUCCAGCUUUAAUCAACACAACCUUGAAUCCUCAUCAGACUCUCUGCCCUCUCUCCAACCAGUGCUUAAAGGACACUCUUCCCCUCAGCAGAGAUGGUAUAAUUUUCAUAAACAUGGGUCAUUUCCCCCUUGCAUCAAUGUCAGAUACGAAACCACCACUUAACAAGACGUACCAGAAAUGCAGAAUGUCUGAACACAGGCUGGGGACAAUAGUAUUUUCUUUUCUUUUUUUUUUUCCGUUCUCUAGUUCUGUUAAAUUGCUCUCCCAAAAUAAUCCUAAUGCUUUAUUUACUUCAGCUCUGGGUUUAUUUUGAGAUGAACUUUCCUGAAGCUGAGUCUUAGGAUGUGAUUCUUAUCCUGGUCACAUCCUGGGGAGUUGUUUUGUGACUUGUUUGAAUGGGCUCUGGCUUUUCCAGGGAGCCCCCUGGCACCGAGGAAGAGGCCAGAGGAUGUCAACUCCCGUGUGCAGUACAAAGGCAGAGAUGGCAAACCGUCAGCUUUGGGUGGAAGUGUUCCCUAGAGGAAAGCCUCGUCUCCUGGGCUCAGGCACGACAGACACCGGCAGAAGCAAACUCAGCUCAGACUUUAUCAGUUAUCUGUUCCGGAGACUGAGGUGUCUCAUAGUUUCCAACAUCUGAGUGAUUUGUGAACGUUAGGAAUUCAGACGCUGGAUGAUUAAAACGGCCAGUGCUGGGAAUUUUCUCAUUUCAGGAAAUUUUGGUCGUGAGGCAUGCUGGAACCUCCCCAGCAGGCAGACCCGAAGGGCAGGAAGUCCAGACCGGGGGUGGGGAUGAGACUGUGAGAAUGGACCAGAAGGCGGCGCGAGCCUUCACUAUCAUGUCAGACAGAUCUGUGUGGGAAUCCUGCUUCCCUGGGCCUCAGUUUCUUGACUGGCAAAAUGGGGAUGAUAAUUUCUACCUCACAGGAGUGUCGUGACCAUUAAAUCCGAUAAUGUCAUGCCUGGCACACAGUCAGGGCCCGGGGCAUGUGAAUUCCCCUCCGUUUCUAUAGGUGGAUGACAAGCGGUGGUGAGUGGUGCAUCCGAGCGGGAAGCUGGAGGUCAAGGGACUGGGGCUGACUCUUGGAGGUUGUGGGGGAGGGGGCUGGCCAAGCCAUGCGGGCUGUUGCAGUCAUGAGGCUCAGGGCAGGGUUUCAGUCCAAACUCUGAUCUGCAGGAGGAAGCUCCUACAGCCGCAGGUUGAUCCCGGGUCUGUUGUAUAAAACAGCGGUUCUCGAAGUGUAGUCUGAGGGCCCCGGAGGAACCUGACACACAGUUACUUUGCUACAGUAGCAAUCACUCUGGGACUCACCCCCGCGCGCGUGCACAGUAAACAAAGAAAAAAACCAAAA